rnacentral:rRNA from 1 species
GACGUAGGGCGCGAGCGUUGUCCGGAUUUAUUGGGCGUAAAGAGCUCGUAGGCGGCUUGUCGCGUCGUCCGUGAAAACUUGUGGCUUAACCACAGGCUGGCGGUCGAUACGGGCAGGCUGGAGUUCGGUAGGGGAGACUGGAAUUCCGGGUGUAGCGGUGGAAUGCGUAGAGAUCCGGAGGAAGACCGGUGGCGAAGGCGGUCUGCUGGGCAGUUUCUGACACUGAUGCGCGACAGCGUGGGGAGCAAACAGG